rfam:Schizosaccharomyces cryophilus OY26 unplaced genomic scaffold supercont4.7, whole genome shotgun sequence.
GUCCACGGCCAUACCUAGGCGAAACCACCAGUUCCCAUCCGAUCACUGCAAUUAAGAGUCUGAGGGUCUUGUAAGUAAUAUGCUCUGAGACAACAUGGGAAUCCGGGAUGCUGUAGGCU